rnacentral:rRNA from 1 species
CCUACGGGUGGCUGCAGUGAGGAAUAUUGGUCAAUGGCCGGAAGGCUGAACCAGCCAUGCCGCGUGAAGGUCAGUGCCCUAUGGGCGUUAAACUUCUUUUGUGCGGGAGCAAUAAUGGUCACGUGCGGCCAGACGAGAGUACCGCUCGAAUAAGCAUCGGCGAACACCGUGCCAGCAGCCGCGGUAAUACGGGGGAUGCAAGUGUUAUCCGGAUUUAUUGGGUUUAAAGGGUGCGUAGGCUGUGAGGUAAGUCAGCGGUGAAAUGCCCACGCUCAACGGGGUGAGGUGCCAUUGAUACUGCCUUGCUGGAAUGCGGAUGACGUAGGAGGAAUGUGUGGUGUAGCGGUGAAAUGCAUAGAUAUCACACAGAACACCGAUUGCGAAGGCAUCUCACGAAUCCGCAAUUGACGCUGAUGCACGAAAGCGUGGGUAUCAAACAGGAUUAGAUACCCUGGUAGUC